UACGAAGGGGGCUAGCGUUGCUCGGAAUCACUGGGCGUAAAGCGCACGUAGGCGGGUUGUUAAGUCAGAGGUGAAAUCCUGGAGCUCAACUCCAGAACUGCCUUUGAUACUGGCGACCUUGAGUUCGAGAGAGGUUGGUGGAACUGCGAGUGUAGAGGUGAAAUUCGUAGAUAUUCGCAAGAACACCAGUGGCGAAGGCGGCCAACUGGCUCGAUACUGACGCUGAGGUGCGAAAGCGUGGGGAGCAAACAGG
rnacentral:rRNA from 1 species